rnacentral:rRNA from 1 species
UGCCCUUUGUACACACCGCCCGUCGCUACUACCGAUUGAAUGGCUCAGUGAGGCCUUCGGACUGGCCCAGGGAGGUCGGCAACGACCACCCAGGGCCGGAAAGUUGGUCAAACUCGGUCAUUUAGAGGAAGUAAAAGUCGUAACAAGGUCUCCGUAGGUGAACCUGCGGAGGGAUCAUUA